rnacentral:misc_RNA from 1 species
AAAAAAUUGAAAAAAAAAGGCAGAAGAAACCCACCCAUCUCCAAAUUUGACAGUUGGUGAAGCUAAAAACACUAAUAGAAGCGAAACACAUGAACCUAAAAUGUGAGAGCACUAUGCUUUUGUGGAUGCAUAUAGAUAUGUGUCUAUGCACACCAAAGGCAUCUAUACACGAGCAAACUACUCCAUAUAUUUCAACAUAAUUUCUCACAAUAAUAACCAGAACAAGAAAUACAAAAUAGAUACAAACCAAACUUAAAUCUAACCAUAUAAAAUGAAAAUAAACAGAACUUGUAAUGUAAUCUAGCGUAGCAUCAAAUUAAAAAAGGAACCAAAAAAAAAUCAUCAAACGUGACAUAAAUCUUCCAAUUCCAAGAUCCCAAGGAAGGAACCCUAAUUUUAGGAGAAAGAGAGAGAAG